CACCAAGUGUUGGAUUGU
rnacentral:snRNA from 1 species